CCUACGGGUGGCAGCAGUGGGGAAUAUUGGGCAAUGGGCGCAAGCCUGACCCAGCAACGCCGCGUGAAGGCAGAAGGCUUUCGGGUUGUAAACUUCUUUUAAGAGGGAAGAGCAGAAGACGGUACCUUAGGAAUAAGCCUCGGCUAACUACGUGCCAGCAGCCGCGGUAAUACGUAGGAGGCAAGCGUUAUCCGGAAUGACUGGGCGUAAAGGGUUCGUAGGUGGUUUGACAAGUUAGUAGCGCAACUCCGGAGCUCAACUUCGGAACUACUACUAAAACGGUUGGACUUGAGUGCAGGAGGGGCAAUCGGAAUUCCUAGUGUAGCGGUGGAAUGCGUAGAUAUUAGGAGGAACACCAGUGGCGAAGGCGGAUUGCUAGACUGUAACUGACACUGAGGCACGAAAGCGUGGGGAGCAAACAGGAUUAGAUACCCCAGUAGUC
rnacentral:rRNA from 1 species